rnacentral:lncRNA from 1 species
GUCAACGUUUAUUGCUUCCUGAACUUUCCUGGAGGAUCAUCUGCCAUACUCCAGCAGAAGGGUGGAUUUGAAAAAAUAACGAAGAUGUUGGAGAAUUCACGUGCUAUUUUAGCUGGCUCUGUGAUUGCAAUCACACAAAUCAUUACAUUCCAGAGAGAUCCCAUCAACAGAAGGUUUUUCCAUUUCAGUCUGUCAAGUUUUUCAGGCAUGAAUACUAUAAGCAAGGAGAGAAAAGUUACAAUAAAUUGACAUUUAUAGUUGAA